UAUUACGCGCGGAGAAAUGUUACCCCGUGCGCGAAAAUGUAAUACAAUUUUUUCGAACGGGGUAACUUUUCCCCGCGCGUAAUA